UACGUAGGGUGCAGGCGUUUGUCCGGAAUUAUUGGGCGUAAAGAGCUCGUAGGCGGUCUGUCACGUCGGCUGUGAAAUCUGGGGGCUCAACCCCCAGCCUGCAGUGGGUACGGGCAGACUAGAGUGCGGUAGGGGAGAUUGGAACUCCUGGUGUAGCGGUGGAAUGCGCAGAUAUCAGGAGGAACACCGAUGGCGAAGGCAGUUCUCUGGGCCGUAACUGACGCUGGAGGAAGCGGAAAGCGUGGGGAGCGAACAGG
rnacentral:rRNA from 1 species